AGUUACCAGCACGUUAUGGUGGGCACUCUAAGGAGGACUGACCGGGUGGACAAACCGGAGGAAGGUGGGGGAUGACGUCAAGUCAUCAUGGCCCUUACGGCCUGGGCUACACACGUGCUACAAUGGUUGGUACAAAGGGUUGCCAAGCCGCGAGGUGGAGCUAAUCCCAUAAAACCGAUCGUAGUCCGGAUCGCAGUCUGCAACUCGACUGCGUGAAGUCGGAAUCGCUAGUAAUCGUGAAUCAGAAUGUCACGGUGAAUACGUUCCCGGGCCUU
rnacentral:rRNA from 1 species